UCUCAGUUCGGAUUGGAGUCUGCAACUCGACUCCAUGAAGCUGGAUUCGCUAGUAAUCGCGCAUCAGCCAUGGCGCGGUGAAUACGUUCCCGGGCCUUGUACACACCGCCCGUCAAGCCAUGGGAGUCGGGAGUGCCUGAAGUUCGUGACCGUAUAGGAGCGACCUAGGGCAAGACUGAUGACUGGGGCUAAGUCGUAACAAGGUACC
rnacentral:rRNA from 1 species